UCUAGAGGUAGGUUCACCUGGCUGGGACACUAGACACUACAUAGAUCUUGAGGUAGGUUCACCUGGCUGGGACACUAGACACUACAUAGAUCUUGAGGUAGGUUCACCUGGCUGGGACACUAGACACUACAUAGAUCUAGAGGUAGG